UCUGUAUUGUAGCAGAACUGUUAUUUUUUUUACUUUUAUAUUAAUUUGUUGAUAAAAUAACGAAUUCAAAAUUAUUUUUUAUAUUUAAUGAAAAAUCCUGAAACAGCGGUGACUCUAAUGAAGUAAGAAAUAAUUAAAAACCAUAUUACAUAAUCUACAAGCAACUCGGAAUUUGAUUUAGGUAAUUUACAGUCUGGUCCAAAAAGAUCCAUAUUAGAGUUAUGUGGAUCUAGAGGUCUUAAAAAUGGAAAACUAACAAAGCAUGAUACUCAUUCUAGUACAAAAAGUCAUUUAACUUGUAAAUAACUGUUAAAAAACUGACACUGUUCAUACCCAGCUAAUAACUCAAUCUAAACUAGAAGUUGCUGCUAAUAGGAAAUAUAUGAAAAGUAUAAUUGACAUAACAAUUUAUUGAGUAUCCAAAGAAUGGCCCGACACAAUAAAAAUAAUUCAUCAUUAAAUCAACGUUGGGAACUAAUUUAAGUAAUCUAAUCACCUAAUAAUAAGUAAUUAAAACUAAGAAGAUAUAAUUAUUAAUUUCUUAAUAAAUAAUUUUUCUUGGGAAAUUUCAACGAAACUUGUGUUUUAUUUUCCAAGCAUAUGCCUCAGUUUUUUGAAAUAUUCAACAAAGAAACAAAUCACACGAGUCACCAUAUUCAAAAUUAAAUAAUUGAAAUAUGUGCAAACAGAAUAAGAGAUUCAAUUAUAGAAGACAUUAGUACACAGACUUUUUGAUGAAGCAAGAUGUUAUAAAGAAGAACAAAUGUUUUAUAUUAUUUUAAAACUUGUAAAUUAAAUACUAAAGCUCAAAUAAUUUCACAAUACUAUGUUUAUGUUAACAUCAUGUCUGCUACUUUAAUGAAGUCAAUCAAAAAUUAGAAUUAAAUUUUCAAAAGCGAUUUUUACUCAUUGUAUGUUCAUAGAAUAAAUCUUUUGGUUGCAGAUAUUUGAAAAAAU